GACUCAAUGGCGCAACGGUUAAUGUGCUUGUAAGUUGUUAAAAUGUAUUCAUCCAAAAGCUGGUACGCAAGUGGUCAGUAAGUGGUCCCGGUUCAACCCCGCGUUGGGUCU